GACGAACGCUGGCGGCGUGCUUAACACAUGCAAGUCGAACGCUGAAGCUUGGUGCUUGCUCUGGGUGGAUGAGUGGCGAACGGGUGAGUAAUACGUGAGUAACCUGCCCUUGACUCUGGGAUAAGCCUGGGAAACUGGGUCUAAUACUGGAUACGACAUGUCACCGCAUGGUGGUGUGUGGAAAGGGUUUUACUGGUUUUGGAUGGGCUCACGGCCUAUCAGCUUGUUGGUGGGGUAAUGGCUCACCAAGGCGACGACGGGUAGCCGGCCUGAGAGGGUGACCGGCCACACUGGGACUGAGAGACGGCCCAGACUCCUACGGGAGGCAGCAGUGGGGAAUAUUGCACAAUGGGCGGAAGCCUGAUGCAGCGACGCCGCGUGAGGGAUGACGGCCUUCGGGUUGUAAACCUCUUUCAGCACGGAAGAAGCGAAAGUGACGGUACGUGCAGAAGAAGCGCCGGCUAACUACGUG
rnacentral:rRNA from 1 species